AGAAUUUGCUGCUCGUGCUAUUGAAUUGCGAAAUAAUUGUGGAGUCAAUCCUAAGAUGAUACAAAAGCUAUCAACCAGGCAGCCAGGCUUGGAUAGCCGAAUGAAGGUCCUCAAGGAGAUCGCCUCAGAGAACAACAUUGUUGUGCAACUCGAGGAAGCCUGCCUUGCAAAUGAGGAAAAACUGGAUGUGAGAAAGAAGAAGCCAACUAAUUCAGGUAGCCCUUUGCGGUUUGGCAAUUUGCAAAUUUCACCUGAAGAGAUAAAAAAGGAUGCCUUCGGUGGUUCAAUUAAGGCAAAUAAGAAGUAUAGGGAUGCAGUUGAUGCAGCUCAAGAUGCUUUUAAGUUCUCAGCCAAUGCAGCUGCUGCUGCAAGAGCGGCUGUGGAACUCUGUCGAUAUGAUCCCCAUGAUCCUGACAAUGAUAACAGUCCCAAUAUUCGAGGAAAAAAGGUAUCAGAUAAGGAUGAGUCCAUGAAACUUGAAUCU
rnacentral:misc_RNA from 1 species